rnacentral:rRNA from 1 species
UACAGAGGUCUCGAGCGUUGUUCGGAUUUAUUGGGCGUAAAGGGUGCGUAGGCGGUGUGGCAAGUCAAGUGUGAAAUCUCGGAGCUUAACUCUGAAACUGCACUUGUUACUGCCGUGCUAGAGGGUUGUAGAGGAGAUCGGAAUUCACGGUGUAGCAGUGAAAUGCGUAGAUAUCGUGAGGAAGACCAGUUGCGAAAGCGGGUCUCUGGGCAAUUCCUGACGCUGAGGCACGAAGGCUAGGGGAGCAAACGGG